UGCCAGCAGCCGCGGUAAUACGGAGGGUGCAAGCGUUGUUCGGAAUUAUUGGGCGUAAAGCGCGUGUAGGCGGCCAGGUCAGUCGGAUGUGAAAUCCCGGGGCUCAACCCCGGAACUGCAUCCGAUACUGCCUGGCUAGAGUCUUGGAGAGGAAGGCGGAAUUCCGGGUGUAGAGGUGAAAUUCGUAGAUAUCGGGAGGAAUACCGGUGGCGAAGGCGACCACCUGGCCAAAUACUGACGCCGAGGUGCGAAAGCGUGGGGAGCAAACAGGAUUAGAUA
rnacentral:rRNA from 1 species